GUGCUUGCUUCCGUGGUACAUAUACUAAAACUGAAACAAUACAGAGAAGAUUAGCAUGGCCCCUGCACAAGGAUGACAUACGUAUUCAUGAAGCAUUCCAUACUUUG
rnacentral:snRNA from 1 species